GAUGAAGAACGCAGCGAAAUGCGAUAAGUAAUGUGAAUUGCAGAAUUCAGUGAAUCAUCGAAUCUUUGAACGCACCUUGCGCUCUUUGGUAUUCCGAAGAGCAUGCCUGUUUGAGUGUCAUGAAAAUAUCAACCUUGACUUGGGUUUUGUGCUCUAGUCUCGGCUUGGAAUUGGGUGCUUGCCGCUUUUACGAGCGGCUCACCUUAAAUGUAUUAGCUGGAUCUGUCUUUGAGACUUGGUUUGACUUGGCGUAAUAAGUAUUUCGCUAAGGACAUUCUUCGGAGUGGCCUCGUUUCUAGGACGCUUGUCCGCUUUCCAAUACAAGUUCCACCUCGUGGACAUGACUUUUUAUUAUCUGGCCUCAAAUCAGGUAGGACUACCCGCUGAACUUAAGCAUAUCAAUAGCGGAGGA
rnacentral:misc_RNA from 1 species